rnacentral:rRNA from 1 species
GACGAACGCUGGCGGCGUGCUUAACACAUGCAAGUCGAACGGAAAGGCCCCUUUUGGGGUACUCGAGUGGCGAACGGGUGAGUAACACGUGAGUAACCUUCCCUUGACUUCGGGAUAACUUCAGGAAACUGGGGCUAAUACCGGAUAGGAAUCCUUGCUGCAUGGUGGGGGUUGGAAAGCUUCGGCGGUUUUGGAUGGACUCGCGGCUUAUCAGCUUGUUGGUGGGGUAGUGGCUUACCAAGGCUUUGACGGGUAGCCGGCCUGAGAGGGCGACCGGCCACAUUGGGACUGAGAUACGGCCCAGACUCCUACGGGAGGCAGCAGUGGGGAAUAUUGCACAAUGGGCGGAAGCCUGAUGAAGAAACGCCGCGUGCGGGAUGACGGCCUUCGGGUUGUAAACCGCUUUCAGCAGGGGCGAAGCUUGUGGUGACGGUACCUGCAGAAGAAGCACCGGCUAACUACGUG